GUGGGGAAUCUUGCGCAAUGGGCGAAAGCCUGACGCAGCCAUGCCGCGUGAAUGAUGAAGGUCUUAGGAUUGUAAAAUUCUUUCACCGGGGACGAUAAUGACGGUACCCGGAGAAGAAGCCCCGGCUAACUUCGUGCCAGCAGCCGCGGUAAUACGAAGGGGGCUAGCGUUGCUCGGAAUUACUGGGCGUAAAGGGAGCGUAGGCGGAUAGUUCAGUCAGAGGUGAAAGCCCAGGGCUCAACCUUGGAAUUGCCUUUGAUACUGGCUGUCUUGAGUAUGGGAGAGGUUAGCGGAACUCCGAGUGUAGAGGUGAAAUUCGUAGAUAUUCGGAAGAACACCAGUGGCGAAGGCGGCUAACUGGCCCAUUACUGACGCUGAGGCACGAAAGCGUGGGGAGCAAACAGGAUUAGAUACCCUUGUAGUCC
rnacentral:rRNA from 1 species